rnacentral:lncRNA from 1 species
UGUUUAAACAACUUACCUACUUUUCUAAUAGCUUUUCUACCUUCCUCCUGCAGUAGAUGGGAACAUAAGGGCACCCAAAGGAAUUUGCCCACCUCUACAGAGGUUUCAGCAGAUGUCCUCCAACAAAGAACACAAAGGUAGAGCUGUACCACUUCCCAGAACCAUUGAGAACAUUUCCAAAACUGCAUCAUCCAUUAGAUUUGCUGAACCAAUUGGUAAUUUGAAAGAAGAUUCAAAAUCAGAAGUAAAAAGUGGCACUAGAGAAGCAAGGAAUAUGACCCCAAAACAGGAUAUUUAUUUGAUAAUUCAGGGAGUCCCUUUACAAAAUAGCCAGAGUGGUCCUAAAUGGCAGCAGAAGCGAGGAGUAAGUAGCCUUGAGAAGACCUAUGAAAAGAGACAAAAACAGAAAACUGGAGUGAAAGUUGAAGAGCUUCCUAAGAAAACUCAGAGUAAAGAAGAGAGAAGAGAAACAAAGGACAAAAGAAAAGAUACUAAGAAGGGCAUGAAUAAGGAAAAAGAAAUAGAUAAGGUCCAAUCAAUGGAAGGAGGUGGAGAUUCUAUGAAAAAAAAAAGGACAAAAAAAAAAGUGGGUAAAGAGGACAAGAAGAACAUAGACCCAAAAGAAGGUUAUGGAAAGAAAAUGGGCAGUAAAAAAAAAAGAUCACACUAAAGAAAAAAUAACACUAGAUUUCAUAAACUAAAAAAACAGAAUUGAAUAAUUUUGCUCUAACACAUAAACUUCAAAACUAGCUCCCAGUCUUCUAUGAUGUAGGUUAGAAUGAUACACUCCUUACAUUCUCUUUAGUCACAAAUUUUCUGCUCCUUUGCUUGUAAUCUGGAAGAAGAUCUUUCAGAGAUUGCUUCUAUUUACAUCUCUGUCUCAAACUUCAGUUUCCAAACACAAGUUUUCAAAAUGUAUGUUCAUUAUGAACCAUUGCUGGGAAAAUACAAUUAAGUAAAAAUUAAUUAAAACUCUGAUUAAAGCAAUGUAGAGUUAUUUUUCUCAAAGAAGUGUGGUAUUUCCCUGUCUAACCAAAUAGCUAUUUACUUGGCCCCUACUAAGUUCAAUAUCCAUAAAGGCAUGCAAAAAUAUCUUUAUCAAGUAGAUAAAUAAGAACAUUAAAAACAUUUAAAAUAUAUAAAUAUUUUUAAAAUGAUUCAGAGCAGUAAAUACAAUAAGAAAGAAUUCAGAAGAGGAAAAUCCCUUUGGAUAGGGAUAAUACAUGAAA